rnacentral:rRNA from 1 species
UUAUACAGCGAAACUGCGAAUGGCUCAUUAUAUAAGUUAUCGUCUAUUUGAUAGUACCUUACUACUUGGAUAACCGUGGUAAUUCUAGAGCUAAUACAUGCUAAAAAUCCCGACUCCGGAAGGGAUGUAUUUAUUAGAUUAAAAACCAAUGCCCUCUGGGCUCCUUGGUGAUUCAUGAUAACUCUUCGAAUCGCACGGCCUUGCGCCGGCGAUGGCUCAUUCAAAUUUCUUCCCUAUCAACUUUCGAUGUUUGGGUAUUGGCCAAACAUGGUCGCAACGGGUAACGGAGGGUUAGGGCUCGACCCCGGAGAAGGAGCCUGAGAAACGGCUACUACAUCCAAGGAAGGCAGCAGGCGCGCAAAUUACCCAAUCCCGAUUCGGGGAGGUAGUGACAAUAAAUACUGAUACAGGGCUCUUUUGGGUCUUGUAAUUGGAAUGAGUACAAUUUAAAUCCCUUAACGAGGAACAAUUGGAGGGCAAGUCUGGUGCCAGCAGCCGCGGUAAUUCCAGCUCCAAUAGCGUAUAUUAAAGUUGUUGUGGUUAAAAAGCUCGUAGUUGAACCUUGGGCCUGGCUGGCCGGUCCGCCUCACCGCGUGCACUGGUCCGGCCGGGCCUUUCCCUCUGUGGAACCCCAUGCCCUUCACUGGGUGUGGCGGGGAAACAGGACUUUUACUUUGAAAAAAUUAGAGUGCUCCAGGCAGGCCUAUGCUCGAAUACAUUAGCAUGGAAUAAUGGAAUAGGACGCGCGGUUCUAUUUUGUUGGUUUCUAGGACCGCCGUAAUGAUUAAUAGGGACAGUCGGGGGCAUCAGUAUUCAAUUGUCAGAGGUGAAAUUCUUGGAUUUAUUGAAGACUAACUACUGCGAAAGCAUUUGCCAAGGAUGUUUUCAUUAAUCAGGAACGAAAGUUAGGGGAUCGAAGACGAUCAGAUACCGUCGUAGUCUUAACCAUAAACUAUGCCGACUAGGGAUCGGACGAUGUUAUUUUUUGACGCGUUCGGCACCUUACGAGAAAUCAAAGUGC